rnacentral:lncRNA from 1 species
ACAAUUUUAUUUUCAACUCUUGCUGCUCUUAGUGAGCCAUUAUGGCCAUUCUAUAUGGUGUUUUAUAUACGUUGCUACUAUGUGGAAUAAGUCAAUCGAGAACUCUAUUUGUCCAUUAGUGUGUCAUAGAAAUCAGUAAAAGCAUGAGCUUAUCAUAUAAAUGAUUGCACGGUCUCAUGAAAAGAAUGGAAAGGAGUCACAAGAAAAUUCUCCCCCGUACUAACAAGUCUUGAGAUUGGCUUUUUUUUCCUUUUUUUUUUUUAAAUCUACAUCUUGAUAACUUACAGCUUCGAUGACUUUUUGUUGGAAAAUAUGGGUGACAUGGGCAACCCGACCGGCAAGAUUUCAAAAAGGGUAGGAGGGAAUGAUUUGAAUUUGAAAUUCAUAACUACAACUACUCAUAACCUCAUUUUAACUCCCAUUAAACUUCCAUUGAUGAUGAAAUGAAAAAUAUGGACAAAAAAAGAUGGCCUGAAAAAGAGGUGAAAAUUCGUAUAGAAAUUGACAUCAAAAUUGAAAAGUCACUAGAACUAUAUAUUUUGCAUGAAAUCUCACAAAAAAUGGCACUUAAAUUGUGGAUAAUAGUCCCCUUCCAUUGUAAUCAGAAUUGGGACCAUUGGGGAAAAAGAAAAUGCAGAUUUUGGAGCUUUGGAAUACAAGGUGAUUCAACCAUACAAAAAGAUCUUGAAAUUCAUCAUUUGAAGUAAGUUUCUUGACCCAAAAUUCAUGUUAAAGUAUGCUGUGAAUUCUUAUACUGGUAUCAGAGCCAUAAGAUUGAAUUCCUUACUGUAAUUCAUGCUUAAAGAUGCCAUUACAUGAUACAAUUUGGGUUAUGAAUCUUGUAUGCAAAAUUUUGAAACCCUAUGUGGUAUUUAAUGGCAUCAUUUGAUAAUUUAUUGCCAUCAUUCGUUCAUUUUCAUGCAGUAAGAUUAGUAUGGUUAUCUCAAAAGCUUUCCAACCAUAUAAAGAACUCAAACUUUGGUCUUAAAAUGAAGAAUUAUGAUGUUUUGAAAUUUGGAUGAUAAUUUGAAUUUUAUGCAUGAAACUCGAUAAAAUACUAAUAUUCAUCACGUGAUAACAUUUUAUACGUGAAGUCUCAUGCUAUUAAUUUAUUGUGGUUGGAUAGAUUUUCUCGAGGCUUUUCCAACAAUAUGAAUAUCAUUCAUUUUGGGCUUAAAAUGAGAAAGUUAUGCCCUCCCGAAGUUUGGAUGAGAAUCUAUUUUUGCAUAAAAAUUUGUAAUAUCAGAAAUUUCAUCACAUGAUAACUUCUUCUGUAAUGUGUUUCAUGAUGCCCAUUUGGUAUUGUUGGAUAGAUAUUCUCGAGACCUUUCCAAUGAUAUAAAGAACAUAAAUUUUAGCAUUGGAAUGAAGUUAUGGCUUCCCAAAGAAUUGAUAAAAAUCUAGAAAUUUUGUUCCUUUUUUUUAAGGGCUUGCUUGGUAAUGAUUUUGAGAAUUGAUUUUUUGACUGUUGAGAGAAAACUGGGUCUUCCUAUUUGUGAGAGAAGAAGUCAAAAAUGACAGUUGACUUAGUAAAACAACGGUCAAAAAAUUGAUUUUUUGGGGAGAAAAAGCACUACCAACACAUGCUCUAAGGACGAACAAUACUUUUUUCUCAUUUUUUGGUCUCGAUUGGAUCUGUUUGGAUUCAGAACACAGUCUUAAAGUUGAUAUUGUAAAAUUUAACCACAUAAAUAAACUCAGAAAGUCAAAAUUGAUUAAAGGGACGAAUCAAUGAAAAUUUUUCCAUUGAAUAAGUGCUGCGAAUGGCGUGUAGUGGGUGUUCAGCGCCCCCACCUUUAAAAAAAGGUUAAAAAGUUGAAAAGUCAAAUAAAAUUGUCGUUUGACUUUUCAAAUAGAAUUUAGAAAUUUGCAAAUUAGUCCCUUGAAUAUUCUUGAUUUUUCUCUUAUGUGCAAUUAAAAUUAAUUUUCAGAUAAUAAAAAUAUUUUUUGGACUGGAUUAAAUUAUGAAAUUUUUUAUAAAGAUCAAGAAAAUUUGUUAAGUGGUAUUUGCCUAGUGGGAGAUUUAUUUAUUUAUUUAUCUAUUUAUUUUGAAGUGUUUCAUUUUUAAAUGAAAAAAAAUACUUUGAAGAUAUUUAAAAUACCAUAUUUUAUAUACGUUCAUGAGUUGUGUGGGUCUUGAUUAGGUUAUGUGAUCUAUUGUGACUUAUUUCCUAUUUUUUUUAUUUAUUUUUAUCAUAUUUGGCUAAAUCUACACACAUUUAUAGUAUCCUUAGAACGAAUGCUAAAAUCAAAGGCUAUGGAACUUGAUGAAAAGUUCCAUGCUUAUCAAUAUAAAUAAAUGGAUUUGGAACAUGACCUAAUGUGGAACAUGUGAAUAUUUUGGGGCAUAAAUUUUUUAUGACAGGUAGAAUAUACGAAUUCUAAUAUCAAUUCCUAUUUGUUAUAACUUUGUUGCAAUAGAGAUUUAAAUGAGAUUGAAAAUUUGUAAAAUAAAACUUAAAUGAUGUUAGUUUAAUUUUUGAAUUAUAAUUGAAGUUAUCAUCUGGAAGAAUUAAUUUGUUAUAUCAUGAUACAUGUUAUAAUUGGAUAAAUGUACAUAUUUAUGCUUCUAUUGCAUAUUAUGAAGUUAUCUAAUUGAAUACAUGAUAUCCAUUAAUUCAUGUAUUGUUAUAAAUGCUAGGGUUAGUAGAAUUAGUGAGAUUCUUUCUUAGGCCUAUUGAUUGCCAGUUGAGUGAUAGUUUGGUAAUUGGAAGAUUUAGAGAAAAUCUCACAUAGAACUAUUUGAUUCACCAACUGAGUGGGAUUUCUCAACUUGAAAGAAUUAAUGUGAUUCUCACUUAGAAUUCAUGGAAUUUUGCAUUAUGAAAUUAAGUUUAUUAUCGUGAAAUAAUAGGAUGCGGACGAUGAUUAGGAACAUAAUGAACUUUCGACUCUGUGCGUAACUUUGAACUAUCAUAGACGUUAAUUUACAUUAAUGCAAAAUUAAAUAUGUGCAUAAAUGGGCAAUGGUUGAGAAUAAAAUGUCUCAAAAAAUGUGAUAGAUCAUGGUAUCAAAGUCUGUAAUAGUUGACCUUAAUAAAAGUGAUAAGCUAAAUACGAUAACAUUUGUCAUGAUAAGAUUUUGAGUGUACUGGAAUGAUAUGAUGGUUUAGAGAGCAUUAACCACGCAAUAAGAAACCUUAUGUAGGUCAUACUACUCUAGAAAAUAAUGAUCAGAACUUUGUUAAGCACGGGAAAAAGAUAUAUUCUAGUACUUGAACAUUUGAAUUGUUAAGUUUUGAUAAAAAUGACUUUUUUCUCAAGUAUAAUUUAGUUGAUGGUUAACAUAGCCCUUGUUUGAGUCCCAUUCUUUUGGAAAAAUUCUUUUUUCAAUAGUAUUUUGACAUCAUUUCAAACACACAUUCUUCAAUAAAAUAAUAUUACACACAAAUCCAAAAUUUUUCCUUAUUUUUUAAUCACACAUUUCCCAUCAAUACACUAUUCAAAAAUUCAUUCUUUCCUAAAAACUGGAGCUCAAACAAGGGCAUAGAGUUAACACUUUUGUUGGUCACAUUAUUUUUAGAUGAGUAGUAAGUUCAAACUAGUCUAUUCUUAACUUUGAAGGUCAUUAUGACUUACAAAUUGAAGUGUCAAUUUUCUAUAUUGACACUAUCCGUUGUGGGAGUUAUAAGACGUGCGACUUGAUGUUACUAAGUCUCGAGUAUAUGCUUGUGUAGCAAUGUUCUAGCUUGCUUAAUAUUCAAGUCGUCGUAAAGUCUCGAGGACAUACUUGUGUAGCAAUGUUCUAGCUUGCAUAAGAUUUUGAAUCUUAAGCAUUAAAUGAGCUAGAACAAAUAUGGGAUAGAUAAGGACACUGAAAAAAGGGACCAAGAAAAACAUAUUUGAUAGUAAAUGAAUGAAAGUGAUUUUGGUAGAGGAUCAAAGUUAUAAAUGUUCAAGUGCUUCAACUAUAUGAUUUUAAUCUCUUAGCUUGAAAGUGGUUAAGCUAAAGGAUCUUGCACUUGAAUAUAUUUCUCUCAGUGUUGUUUAUGUGUUAACACUACACAUAUUGAUCUUAUCUUGUGUGGAUAGUGGAUUCAAGGGUUAGAAACCCACUUUAUAUGAGAACAAAAAGGUAUAUUAUUCUACUGUGGAGUCUUUGACUUGAUGCAAAGUAUAUAUAUACAAAUAAUGAAGAUGGGGUGGAUGUUUAUAUGACUGAUAUUGCAACUUAGUGUUGAAAAUUGGAGAAACUGAUCUCCUAUUUGAUAUUAAGUUGGUAUAAAAAACUCCACAAAAUUUGAUCUCAAUUAUUAUUCUUCGAAGAAUGGUCUCUUACUUGAACUUGUAUGUUGUAGAUUGCUCGUAAUCACAGUGGCGAUACUUAUUAUGGUUCUGAAUAUUUGUACAGUGGAUUGAGGUUUUGAGUUGAGAAAACCAUUCAAAAUUGUAAGAGAUAAAUUCUAUAGAAUAAAUCGAUCCAAAUUUCUUUGUGGGCUGUGAUUAAAAGAGAUAGGAUGGAACUUUACUUUUCAUUACAUUUAUAGAUGGACUCACGCAUUUCAGAUUUGCCUCUGCUUUUCUUAAAUCAAAGAUAUUGUAUUGGUUUAGACUUUUCUAAAGUCGAGUAGAAAAUCAGAUUGGGGAAGUGAAGACUUUGAGAAUUAUCUGAUGGCGUGAAUUUUUAUCACGAGAUAUCAAUGAUCUAUGUAAUGAAAGAGUUUCUUAUUUGAUAGACUAUUCUUUAAUCAACAAUAAUUAUUUGAUGUAUUUGAUUGAAUGAAUGAAAUAUUGCUGAAUAUGAUGAGGUUAGAAAUAUAUAGUCCAACUUACGUAUUUGCUUUUGGAAAGAACAUUGGCUAACUAAAAUGUAUCAGUUAAUGGAGUUCUGUCAAUGUUGGUACCUUCAAUAUAUAUAAGUUUUGGACACGUAGACAACCAAAUAUGGGUUAUCAUAGAUUUAUAAUGGAUUAUACAUGUUCUCGAUAAUGAGUUCGGGAACAUGAGUCUAUUAAGAAUGAGAUGUGCCUCGAUAACAUACAUGGAGUCCAAAAAAAGGUAUUUAAGUGAAAUUUUUUAUGGAUAUCGAGUCACAAAAUGUGACAUUUGAUAUUUUUGUAGUAAGGGAGAAAAGAUUGAAGAACUUCGUUGAAAUAGUUAUUAUAAGUAUUGAUGAAUCAGUUUUGAAUAUAUAAGAGUCAAUUCAAACUUCUAAUUCAAGUGGGAUUAAUUUGUUUCCAAGUUGGACUUAUCUAUUUGAAUAGGAGCCAUCUAAGAACUAUUUCUAUGACUCUUGGUUUCGAGUGGGAGUUAAGAUCUAUUUAAUAUCAAUGAUUCUUAGUUACGAGUGGGAGCUAAGAUCUAUUGAAUGUAAAUGAUUGCUGGUUCAGAAAAGCAAUGGAGAAUUUUGAGAAAAGUGAUGAAAGUAUAUAUGUGGAGUACAGAAUUUCAACCUAAUCUGGGAUAUGGUUGAAGUUCUGGACAUUAUGUAUUUUGAGAACAUUCAGGUUCUUGAAAACUAAGUGGAAGACUAAUGAGUUUCUGAUAAAUAACGCUCCUCUCUUUGAAAAAGGGGUAUACUCAAUAUGAGUCUAUUGAUUUAGAUAGAAAUUUUUCAUGACAAUGGGAUUCGCUUAUGUACAUCUAUACUAGUGGUGAUAGUAUGUUUAAAUUUAGAGUUAUGCCAAACAGACCCAAAGACUGUAUUUUUAUUCUCAAGUGAGAAAUGAUUAAAGAUGUGAGAAAUGAUUAAAGAGAUCAACAUGAAUCAUCUUGUAAGUUUUAUAUUAAAGGCUUUUUUUAGUAUUUGGUAACUUUAUAGUUACAUGCAUGGUCUAAUACUGUCACCUUGAUAGUCAUACUUGAGUUUUUAACAUGGUUAAAUCUCGUACUAGAAUUUCGUCAUAUGGACAAAAAUUACUGAAUUUGUGUAAAGGUCUGAUGGUAAGUUGUAAUUCUAAUUUUGAUAUUACAUUGGAUUGGUUAACAAUGAAAAAGAGUGUAUAGAGACCAUUUUGAAAUGGUCGUCAAAGAUCUUUGAGACAAAGGAAGUGGGUUUAGCAAAUUGUAUGAUUUGUGUUAAAAAGAUUAUUCGAGUCUUCUAGCUUUAUCACAAGAGUUUUAUAGUAUAAAAGCUCACGUGGAAUUGCUACUUUAUUGAUACUCGUAUAUCGGAAAGUGACCAUAUAAGUCUUCAUAAAUGUCCAAAGACUCCAUAAAUGCACAAAGAAAUAUCCGGAGAACCAUAUCUAGUACAAUUGAAAGUUAGGAGAUAGAAGUAUUCUAUGAUUUAUACUUGCCAUAACGUUGGUCAUGCCAUGAAUCUAGUCAGUAGGUAUCAAUAUUAUCUUUAGAAAAUGUAUUGUGAUACCUGAAGGGUGCUUUUGUCAGUUAUCCUAUUUCAUUGCCAAAGGAGUAACUUGUUAUUGGAGUAGAUAUACAAUUGUCGACUACGAAUGAGAGUAAGUCGAGCACAAUUAGUUACUAGACUUGUGCACUCUUGCUAUAUAGUUUAGCAAGAAGCAUAUAUUAUAAUGUAUAGCUUGGUAGCUAAAGAAAUUAUUUGUUAUAGAUGUAUUGAGCAUCUAAUGAUACUAGUUGAGAAUAUGAUAUCCAUGAUAGUUGUACAACUAUUUUUUAUGUUCAAAUCUCAAGUAUCAAGAUGGAACUAAACACUUUAUGGUAUAUCUGUGAGAGUCAUUAGCAAAGAAAGUGUCUUUGCAAUAUAUCUACGUAAAUGAUGAUAUGUAAUCUGAAAAUGUCUAGAGAUAUAUUUGUUGGCAAUAUCGAAUUUCUAGAAUUUCGAAGAAUAUGAUACCUAGUGUAUCAGAAAACUCUUGAUUGAGUUAUGUGUGCCCAUAAAUGAACAGUUUUGAGUUCGUACGUAAUCUAAUGUUAAGAUUACAAGAUGAAUGAUUUGUACGUACAUAUAAAGUACGUCAAACGGGGUUGAGAUUGGCUCACUCACAUGAGCAAUCGCCUCGGACACUUUGAGAUGUGGUAAGAUGAGACGCGGUGAUUAUGUUGUGUACAUGAUCUAGUCAAUUUGAUAAGAUAUUAAAAUGAGAUUACACUAAGUAAUCGAAAUGAAUUUUGCUAUCCAUUAAACCUCUUUAGUAGCCUGAUCGAGUUCUUGAUUUGAGAUUGCCUUGUGGAAUGAACAUAAGGAGAACUCAAGUUAGGUAUCGAAAAAUACCUAAACUAGGAUUUGUACGGUGUUAUUUGUUUACAAAGAAUAUGAUAUAUGCCCUAAGAAAGGGAGAAAACUUCAUAGCAAGUGUUUCAUACCACGUGAGCUUGUACGACCAGUAUUAGGUAAAUGAGUGAAUGGAUCCAUGCUUGCUCAUUAUGUGAGAUCCUGAAGUUUAUAUAACCUCAUAUAUACAAUUAUGACUUUUGACUGUUUCUUGAAAUUUUAUUUUAGUGUUGCUAAUUAAUAUGUUGUCAAUAACUAUGAUUGUUUCGGUUUGAUGGGGCAUGUCUAGAAAAUAAGCUGAUUUAAAAUUGAAGGAUUCAAGUAGGAAAGGAAAAUUGUUUUGACCAACUUUUAUAUUUGUAUUCACCGGCCGGACAAUUGUGUUGAACUAUUUAGGGUAUAGAGCACAAUUGUAAAAACAAUGAUGCGAUGUAGGGUUCAAGUAUGUUCCAUAUAAUAUUCGAGGGAUUGGAAAUACUUGAAUUAAUGUUGAAAAAUGAGUUUGGGGUAUAACGAGAUAUGAUGUUCCUCUUAUAGAGCUACUAUAUAUCUCUAACAAGUUUAUAAUACCGUGAGCUCUAAUAUUACUCACUGGUCGCACGAUCUAUUUGCUGUAUAAAUCUUUGUGAUAUAGAUCUUGAGAAGGAUCUGAGAUGUGGCAUUCAUUGUCAAUUGUGGUUUGGAUCAACCUCAUCAUGUGCGAGUGAGAGAUGUUGGAAAAUACCGAUUUCAAAAAGGGUAUUAGGGAAUGAUUUGAAUUUCGAAUUCAAAUCUACAAUUUCUCAUAACCUCCUUUUAACUCCCAUAUAACUUCCAUUGAUGAUGAUAUGAAAAAUGUGGACAAAAAAGAUGUGAAAAAUCAUAUGGAAAUUGACACCAAAAUUGAAAAGUCUUUAGAACCAUAUUUUUGGCAUGAAAUCUCACAAAAAUGACACUUAGAUUGUGGAUAAUAAACCCCUUCCAUUGUGAUUAGCAUUGUGACCAUUGGAGAACAAGAAAAUGCAGAUUUUGGAGCUUUGGAAUGUAAGGUGAUUCAACCACACAAAAAGAUCUUGGAAUUCAUCAUUUCAAGUUUCUUGACCCGAAAUUUAUAUUAAACUAUGCUGCGAAUUCCUACACUUUUAAAUGAUUUAUGGGCUGACUUUUAACUGAUUUAUAGGCAUUAAAUCCGGUCUCCUUCACUUCCCUCUAUUCAUGCAUUUUGUAAGUGAACCCACAAUAUUAGCUCUUAAAUUUACAUAAUCAAUCUAGAUGAUUCUAUAUGAUAAGAUUAAGCCCUAGUUUGGGAUCAUUUUUUAUGAAGUUUUGGGAAAAAUAUAUUUUGGAAUAGUAUUUUUUUGGAAAAUGUGUGGUUAAAAAAGGAGGAAAAAUUUUGGAAUUAUGUGUAGUAUUAUUUUAUCGAAGAGUGCGUUGUUAAAAAAGAAGAAAAGAAUGUAUUAAAACUAAAAUGAAGCCCAAACAAAAGCUUAGUAUCAACAAUAUUAUGUCUACAAUAUGUAUUUAUGUUUUGAAACGGAGUCAUAAUAGAUCAAGAAAAGUCGAAAGAAAAAAAAAAAAGCCCCAAUGUGUGGGGACGUGGCCUGUUGCGAUUUGCAAACCACGGCCCAGAUCACCCAAACAUGGAUACCCGGCAAACCACAAUUCAGCCACGGUUGCGGUUGAACUACGAUCCCACAACUAUUAAUUUCGCUUUAUUUGGUUCCAAAAUGCAGUUUUCCGUGUGGGUUUGGUCCUUUUCUAAUUUUAUGUCCAAUUUUGGUCUUUUUAUCCCAAAUUUCAAUUUGAUACGAAACUUUAAAAAUAUUCCAGUGGUCCCAAAACUACAUAAUAGUAUGAAAUAGCUACUCAACAGUUUCAAAAGUGUGUAAUUUAGUCCCAAAACUUUUCAAAAGUUAAAUUUCACUCCCAAGACUUACGAUUUUGUUUUGAUUGCUCUGUUAAUACUUACUCCCAUCCAAAUCGGUUACUCUUUAAUUUCUAUGAACCAUCUAUAAAUUAACUCAAAAUCAUCCAUCUUCACACCAAUUGUAUCAAAGUUCGAAUUCUACGUACAAUUAACAAAUUUACAUUAAAUUAAGUAGAAAUUUACACAAAUAUGUCCAAGUCUAAUAACAUAAAAUAAAUACGUAAAAAUACACUUAUUAGUCAAUUGUUGAAAAACGUCGAGGCCCUAUUAAUAUAUAUUUGCCAACAGUAAAGUCCUGCAGAAAUUAUGACUAAUCUUAAAUCAGAUCCCUCUUUAACGGCUUGAAGACGUUUGGCAUAUUCUAGGGUUUCCCUCAGUACACUUGUCAAACUAAGUGAACACUAUGAAGCUACCAGAACCUAUACUUUUGGAUCGCAGCAUGACUAGGGAAAUUUCUAUUCAUCCAGAAAUCCCUGCUGACUCAAUAUAUCUCAUCUCUUUAAUUUGUCCCUUUCUAUAUAUAUAUAUUAUAUGCUGUUUUCAUCUAUGCAUAUAUUGGUAAGAAAGAAAAUGUACAACGCAGUUCGAUCAAUUAGGAUACUACCACCAACGGCAUCUAUUUUCUCUUCAAAGUUGCCAAAUAACAUCAGCAGGAGAAUUUGCGGAGUCAGAUUUGCACAAGCCAUGUCAGGGCCUAAUCAACCUCAGAGCACUAAGAAAAUAGAUCAGUCUCAGGAAUCAAAAAAUCAAAGAGGGUUGGUUUUCAAAUCUUGUUUUCUUUUUGUUUUCGUGUCAUGAAAUGAUGGGCUUUUGUUAAUCUUGGUGUUAUAGAUAGAUAGAUAGAUAUUUCACGUUCGAGGACGAAAAAAUUAGCUAGGGUUGUGGAGGAAUUUUUUAAGAUAAAAAGUUUUAAUCCUUCCAAUUGAAAUUUCUUGUAGUGUGUAUAAAUAUGUACCAGUUAUUGAGUUUAACAUGGUUUCGGAAUUUGGGAAACGAUUGCUUCAUUUGGUGAAGGAUAUGCAACGAGGUCUUAUGAAGAAGGAUUUGGAGGAAUCUAUGGAGGGAACCAGUCUAUUUCCAAGGAGGACGAGGAGAAAAUUGUUCAUGGAAAUGCCCCGGGUACAUUCUCUUUCUUUCUUCAAUCACCGACCUCCACGCCUCUAAACAUGCCUUAUCAGAUCCAUAGUGCCCGGCUAAAAUCUAAGUUCUAAAUAAUUAAUUUUAACUACAUUUUAUGUCCAACCGCAUGUUGGAAUAUACUAAAUAUCUUAUUUAAAUUCCUGGGCUAUACUUAUAAAUCGGUUUGACACUUCAAAAAAGUUGCCUAAAUUUUUUUAAUUUGAAAUUGAGAAAACUUUAGGAAAAAAAAUUUAAUCAUUAUAUUUGGAAAAAACUUUAGCCACUAUAAUUGCAACACAAGCCCAUCCAUAUUUUUGCCAUCACUGGUUUUUGUUCUCGUUUCGUUUUUACUUGUUUUUCACAUGGUUAGCCAUUUCCAUCACUUCCAAAAUUACUCAUCAUUGUUAAUUUGAACAACAUUCAACAACUAUUUAACAAAACCUACCAAACAAGCCUUGCUCGAUUAAUCCCAUUAAAAGCGAUUUUGUGGCAUUGUUUAAAAAGAAAAAAAAAAAUGCGGCCGUGGCUUGUGGUUUAUUAUUGAAGAUGAAAGAUCAUUUGGUGAAAUAUAAAACCAAUUUGAGAUUGAGUGGGUUCGUUAGGUGUUGCUGUUUACAUAGAAAAGAUGCAAAUUAAGGUUAAUUAGGGGGUAAAAGUAAUUUAUUUUGUAUAAAUGGUUUCUUAUAAGAAAUAUAGUUAUUAAAAUCAGUCUAGCUCAAUCGGGUAGAUCAAAAAAUCAUUAAAUCAAGUGCAGUGACAACCCAAUUUUCAUAUUUUGAUGGGGGAAAUUAGGUCAACUAUCCUUAAAAAGUAAAACUUUAGAUUAAUACUGUUAAAAUUGAUUAGAACUAUAAGUUCCUGAAAUUAUUACGUCCAAAUUGAUUUUAUCACUUUCUGAAAAUUUGCCACUUUUUGAGCUUUUUUUAGUUUUUGUAACUUUUUUGAAUAAUCACCUUUUUUUAAUCUCUUAUCGCCUUCUGAAAAUUUUAUCACUUGGAGUUGCAGCGGGAGACCAUCUUCCAGACUCGAUGCCAUGUCAACAAUAAGGUAUUUAGUGUAAUUAUUGAUGGUGGUAGUUGCACAAACGUUGCUAGCGUAGCACUUGUAAAGAAGUUAAAUUUAACAUUGUUGAAACAUCCUAGGCCAUAUAAAUUGCAAUGGUUAAAUAAAAGUGGAGAAGAUAGUGUUAAUCAAUCUUUCAAUUGGUAGUUAACGGGACGAAGUAACGUGUGAUGUGGUACCAAUGCAAGUGGGGCAUAUUUUAUUGAGGAGACCAUGGCAAUAUGAUAGGAAGGCUAUGCAUGAUGAGUACAAAAAUCGCUAUAGUUUCAUCAAGGAUGGGAGGUAUAUUACUUUUGUGCCAUUAACACCGGGGCAAGUCCAUGAGGAUCAAAUUAAAUUUAGGAAUGAGGAAGAGAGGAGAGUAAGUGAGUUAGAAAAAAAGAGAGACAUGUAUUACGGAGAGAAAUAGAGAGAAGAUAGUGAAAAUGAAAAUAAUGAGAUUGUGAGCAAGAGAGGAAAUUGUGAGGUGGCCAUUAGAGAAAAAAGAAAGAGGAGCCACAAGAGAUGAAAGAAAGAGAGUUUUCCAAGAGAAAGGAAAAAUCACGAGUGAAUUUCUUUUUAAAAGGGAGUGCGUUGAGGAGGGCAAUAAUUAAGAGGAGAGAGAUGUUUUUAUUGUUGUACAAGAAAACACUCCUCAAUUUUGAGACUACUAACAUCCCCUCCCUAGUUUGGCUAAAACUGUACUGCAGGAAUUCCAAGAUGUAUUCUCGGAGGAUGUACCGAGUGGAUUACCACCCAUUCGAGGAGUUGAACAUCAAAUUGACUUUAUACCUAAAGUUGUCAUCCCGAACCAAUCAACUUAUCGGAGCAAUCCUGAGGAGACAAAGAAGCUUCAUAGGCAAGUAGAGGAGUUGAUAAGCAAAUGUUAUGUAAGGGAAAGCAUGAGACCAUGUCCCAUUCCAGUGUUACUAGUGCCAAAGAAUGAUGGGACAUGGCGAAUGUGCGUUGAUUGCAAAGCAAUCAACAAUAUAACGGUAAAGUAUCAUCACCCAAUUCCUAGGUUAGAUGAUAUGUUAGAUGAAUUGCAUAUUGCUUGUAUUUUUAGUAAAAUUGACCUUAAAAGUGGGUACCAUCAAAUAUGCAUGAGGAACGGUGAUGAGUAGAAAAAGACAUUUAAAACUAAACAUGAUUUAUAUGAAUGGUUAGUUAUGCCUUUUGGACUCACAAACACACCGAGCACUUUUAUGCGCUUAAUGAACCAUGUUUUACGUGCUUUCAAUUUACUGAAGUAGUACGUUUGUAUAGGAUUCCUUAGAGUAUAGUGUCGAUUAGAGACGUGAAACUUUUAAAUCACUUUUGGCGAGUAUUGUGGGAUAAGUUAGGCACGAAAUUGUUAUUUUCCACAAUUUAUCACCCUCAAACCGAUGGACAAACCGAAGUCGUUAGUAAGACUAUGAUUCAAUUGCUGCAUACGGUAAUGAACAAGAACUUGAAAAGUUGGGAAGACUGUUUACCUUUCAUUGAAUUUGCAUACAAUUGAGCUACUCAUUCUACUACUUCAUUUACUCCUUUUGAAAUUGUUUAUGGUUUUAAUUCACUAACACCGUUAGAUUUAAUUCCAUUACAUGUGAAUGAACGUGGUAGUUUAGAUGGCAAAAGAAAGCUGAAUUGGUGAAAUCGCUUCAUGAGAAGGUAAAGUUGCAGAUCGAAAAAAAAAGCAAGCUUGUUGAGUUGCAGGCAAAAUAGACAGAAAACAUGUGAAAUUCGAACCAGUAGAUUGGGUUUGGGAACAUUUCAGGAAAGAGCAUUUUUCGGAGCAAAGUAAUUCGAAAUUGCAGUCGCGAGGAGAUGGUCCAUUUUAAGUCAUCGAGAAGAUCAACGAAAACGCUUACAUAAUAGAUCUUCUAGGUGAGUAUAAUGUUUCAACAACUUUUAAUGUAUCUGAUCUCUCUCUUUCUUUGAUGUAGGUUUAGAUUUGAGGAUGAAUCUUUUUGAAGAGAAAGGGGAUGAUGUAAUCCAAGAGUUGAGUCCAACGAAGGCGAGUUUGGAACAAGACCCGUUAAUAAUUGAAGGGAGAUCGAUGAAGUCAUCGAGGGCAAAGCGAGUGAAACAAGCGAUGGGAUAACUUGUUCAAUCAACCAUUCAUGGGACGAUGGUCGAAACGCAAAAUGAGGCAACUUUCAUGUUUGGGUCGAGAGUGGAAUCAAAAUAGAUCAACUCAAUACAAGCGGACGAAGACUGAGGCAAAACCGACAACUAUGUGGUCGCAUAGUGCAAUGGACUAUGCGGUUGCAUACAUCGGUGUAGAGAUUUCGCGGUAGCAUUUUACUUGAACUAUGCUACCCCAUUUAAAUACACUAUGUGGUUGCAUAGAUCAAAUAUUUGGCAAAAACAUUCCUUUUCGCGAUUUUUCAUAUUUUGCUAGAUUUUAUUUUAUUCCAUAUCUUUGUAAUUUUGGACGAAUAAUGCACGGUUUUACUAGAUUUUUUUUAAGGUUUUAUAGCUGGUAUAAAUAAAGAAAUUCUCUCUCAUUGUAUUCUUACAUUAGAAGACAUUAUUAUUAUUCGAUAAAAUUCCGAGAGUUUUUGAGAGGCUAUUGUGCUUUUCUUCGUCUUAAUUAACAACUUGAACUUAUCAAGAAUUUACAAUUCUUGUGGCAUUCAACCAAUCGAGUACAAAUCUCUUAACGUGUAAUCAAGGGAUCCUUCAAGCACCGAUCUUAAUGGGUUUUUUGGUUCACUUAUUUCUAUGGUUCAACUCUAAACCUUUAAUUAGGUUUUUCUGAGUUCCAUAACAAGCUCGUUGUGGGUUUCAUAGUCAAUGCUGCUACAUGGUUCACAACACAAUGGGUCGUCACCAUCGAGGCUAUCCCCUACGUCUCGCCGAUGGACACCCUCCAGCAUUGGGACCUUUCCAUCCAUAGUUGCAAAAAUGAUUCAAGUAUAACAUUCGAUGGCUUUGAUGAAUCAUCAUACCCUAUAAGAUUAUCUCUUCCAGUGCCUCUGUCAACCCCUCUGUCUUAAGCAUCGCCAGUCUCUCUGGUACUCACAUCGCCUGUCUCUCUGCAUCCCCUCGUCGGCCUACUACAUUACCUUGUAGUGCUAUGACCUCAUUACUAAGGCCUCCCAAAUCAGCUCAUAAUGUUCUAAUGUCAUUUCAUAACUGAAUGAAAGUGGGAGAAUAACGCAAUGGAUUUUGUGGUAGGAUUUCUAAGGUCAGCAAGAGGACACAAUGCUAUAUGGGUAAUAGCGAAUCGUCUAACAAAGUCAGCUCAUUUUCUUCUGGCAAAAAUGACAUUCAGUCUAGAUUAGCUAGCGUAGUUGUAAAUUAGAGAGACUGUAAGAUUGCAUGGUGUCCCCGUAUCUAUUGUGUCUGAUAGAGAUUCGAGAUUUAUGUCAAAGUUUCGGAAGAGCUUACAAGGAGCUAUAGGAACGAAAUUGCAUUUUUGUACGGCAUAUCACCAUCAAUCUGAUGGUCAGUCUGAAAGGACCAUUCAAACUUUGAAAGGUAUGCUAAGGGCCUGUGUUCUAGAUCUAGAAAGCAGUUGGGAAUCGUAUCCACCUUCGGUGGAAUUACAUAUAAUAAUAGUUUUCAGGCAAUUAUUGGAAUGGCACCGUAUGAAGCUCUAUAUGGUAGAAGAUGCAAAUCACUUGGUCAUUAGGACAAAAUCAGAGAAAAGAGAAUUUUGGGACCAGAUAACAUUGAAAAGACAGUGAAAACCAUUGAUAAGAUCGGUACCAGGAUAAAGGUAGCACAACAUAGACAAAAGAACUAUGCAGAUACCAGAAGAAAAGACUUCGAAUUUGAGAUUGGAGAGAAAGUUUUUUUAGAAGUAGCACCAAUAAAGGGUGUACUUAGGUUCAGCAAGAAAGUCAAACUACGACCUUGUUAUAUCGGACCUUUUGAAGUACUUGAUAGGGUCAAAAAUAUGGCUUUUUGAUUAGCUUUGCCGCCUGAACUAUCAGCAGUUCACAACGUGUUUCAUCUAUCAAUGAUUAGGAAGUAUAUGCAUGAUCCUGAUCACGUGAUCAGUUAUAAAUCCCUAGAAGUAUAGAAAGAUUUAUCUUAUGAGGAAUUAUUGAUUAAAGUACUGGAUCAAAAGGUAUAUAAAUUACAGAACAAGGAGAUUCAACUGAUUAAAGUUAAAUGGAAUAAUCAUGGAGUAGAAGAAGCUAUUUGGAAAAGAGAAGAAGAAGUUAAAGACAAAUAUCAGACACUCUUUGCCAAACCAUAUGGUAAAUUUCGAGGAUGGAAUUUUGUUUAAGGUGCAAGGGUUGUAGAAGCCCCAAAAAAAAUGAAAUUAGGCUCAUAUUUUUAGGUGAUGAUCUAGUACCAUGAGUCUAGCCCAUAGACAAACCUUAUGCUCGGCCCACAUAAGCAAUGAAAGCCCAAUACUAGUCCAAUGUGUCUUAAAUAAAUUUAUUUACAAUUUUAUGGUGGUUCAACAUGCAACACAAGUCUGACCACCAUACAUAUUUUUAAAAAAAUAUAUUUGAAAAAGUUAUGAUGGAUUCAAUGUCUCCCGCGGUUUGUACCCGACAAUUAAAAUUUAUAUUUUGUAUAGUAAAAUUUCCAAGACAUUUAACAACAAAUUUAAAUUCAUGAAAUGAAACGGCAAACUAUCUUCAAUUCUUUUAAUUGGUUAAUGAUAUUUAAGACAGGAAACAGGUAUAUAAAAGAAAGAAAUUAAACCUAAACAAUUCUUCAAUCAUUUUCUUAAAUGUUCAAUGAAGUGCUGCCCUUUCUAGGCUUUUCUCCAUUUCCUUCAAGUUAAUUAUAUUCUUGGAAUGAAACAUACCAUUUAAAUUCUAAACACUCACAUACGUAUCACAGGUUUCAAUGUACCAAAAUAAUGUUGAAAUGAAACUUACAAUUCACCAAAUAAACUAUUGUAAAUUGUCUUUAGUUGGGAGGCAUGAAUGCUUCCGUUUCUAUUCAUUUUCAAAUUUAAGGCAGGGAAUUUAACCUAAACUCUUUAAAAUGCUUUUAAAUUUCUUCAAUUUAUUUGCUGCCCAUGUUUUUCUAGCAUUUAGGAUUUAUUUUUCAUUCCUUCAAGUUAUUCAUAAUAAACUUUGUACAAGAAAAGGUUUCAAAAGUCAAGAAAGAAAAAUAUAAGAGAGGAGCAAAUUUCUUAAGCUUCGGGUGCCAUCGAGAAACAACUUCCACCGACCAAUUCGUUUCAAUAAGGUAAGUAGAGGUGCAAGUGUUUAUUUCCUUUUCAAAUUAUGAUUUUUCGAUAAAUGUUUGAAUUAAUUGGUACCUUACAACAGUUUGAAUGAUCUUUCUCUAGCUCUACAUGUUAUGAUAAUGCUACAGUAAUUGGAAUUUGCUGAAAAACCAUUUACGUGCAAUGAUAUGAAUCUAUAAUUCGAAAUUACUAAUUCGAUAACGAAAUGCACCGAUGAUAUCUAUUGAGUUUCAAACUCAUGGGUUAAUUCUCUUCUUACAGGUUAAAUGGAUUUUCUUAAGGCAUGGAUGAUGGUAGAGGAUGAUACAACAUGCUAUGGGGGAAGUCAGUGAUUUGAAAAUUUUAAUUCGAUCAUGAAAUGUUUACAUUUGUUUUUUUUAAUAUGAAUUUCUAUGGAUGUCAUAUGUGGAACUAUUCUAAGAAUAUUUCUUCAUUAAUAAGUAAUGUUUAAAAGUAUAUAUGUGUUAUAGAAGUUAAUUUACAAAUCACCGUUUACAAAAAGAAAAAAAAAAGUGUUAGCAAAUUAGAGUAUUGUUGUCUCUUUAAAAAUUUCAGUUUCUGUCUUGACUUUGAAAAAUUCAUAGCUAACUCGUUACUUGAAAUUUUUAGACAAAGCCAAUGACCCUGGAUAGCCACAUAGGUUAGCUAUUGAAUGAAUUUGGAGUCAUGUCAAUCCGACGUCGGUAGAAUUUUAUAUGUCACUUUAAGUAAACUGCACAUGGGUAGUGUUACUGUUUUUCAGCUUCUGCCCUUGGUUUCAAAAAUUCAUAACUCACUUGUUACUUGAAUUUUUUGGACAAAACCAAUUGGGAUUGAUAGCAUCAGGCGUUAGCUACUGAAUAAAGUUGAAAUUAUGUCGAUUUGAUGUGUGUAGAAUUUUAUAUGGCACUUUUAAGUAAGCUUCGCUGGGUUACUCCAACCCGAAUCGCUGCGGGGUUUUGAAAAAUAUUUUAAUACCCUUAUAUGCUGCCGACGGAAGAUGAUUUUCGGAUAUGUCAUAUUAUAAGGAGUUUUCUACUUUACACUAAAAUAUCACAAAGUUUCAAGGUCGAUAGCCAUGCAAACAAAUUUAUUUUGACAAUUAUCAUUUGAGAUAAAAACUAAAACAGCAACAUUAUUUUUAAAGUUUUGCCAAAAAUUUCACGUCAACAGUGGUUACUUGCAUGGAAACCAUUCUAAAAACAAUUUUAAAAUUUUUUCUUUUAGUAUUGAAUUAUUUUGUUUUAGAAAAAAAAAACUUGAAUUAAAUUCUUAAAUUAAAUCUUUAUACUUUUGGCCAAAAGUAUAUCAAUUAUUAAGUUUACGGCUAAAGUACAUUUAAUCGUCAUGUUUUGGUCCCUAUGGGUUGGGCCAUUACAUAUAGUGUCUCCUCAUAACAUCUCUGCCCCAUGGAUAGCCGUUGAGGACAUCAAAUUUUCAACAACUUCUAAAUGAAAGAUGUCAACCACUGUCUUUUUGUGUUGACAUCUCAGUACACUUUCAAGGAUAAGCACCAAAUCUAGCUUCAAUUUGUCUAACUUGUGGCCGUAUUCUUGAAUGCAUCCUCUAACUGUGGUAGAAAUACAAUCGUUUGUAUUGGAAAAUAUUCUUUCAGCAGCCUUCUGUUUCUUGAAAUAUGGGUCAUUGCUGUUUCGUUGCUCUUAUACAGUCGGUGAUGAGGACGAACUCAAAUAAAGAGAAUCUAGCUACCUGGUCGUGCCCAAGAUUAAAGUAGAGUGAAUCAUCGAUGAUAGGCUUAAACAGUGGACAUAGUAAUCAUCAAAGAGCUACCUUGAAAAAUGUCUCUCAAAGGAUAGAGGGCCACAAGCAGGAAUAGCGUGACAUAUCUACAUGCUCAUGAUCGAACAACUCUAAUAUUGUCAUAAAGCUAUCAAAAUUAUAGUUCGAAUCUCGAGAAGAUGUCUCAUCCUGACGUCGAGCUGGUAAUCCAUACUACAGAAUUUUAAAUGUUAGAACCUUGUACAAGAGAUAACGCUAAAUCAUAUUAUCAAAAAAUUAAACUAAAUAAUUUGUUUAUUACUAUACGCAAGAAUAAACGGAUAAUGAAAUAAAAGAAAUGAAAGAAAACAAAAAUUAAACAAAAAGAAUUAGCAACAAAAAAAAUAUAUUAAACGUAGAAAAUGAAAAUAAAACGAGGGAAAAAAUUUAUGAUUUUUGAAAAUAUGAAAACAAUAAUUAUCCUUUAGCAACCGAAUAUAAAUUUUCAUCUAUUUCAUUUCGACACGUUUUGUUAAUUUGAGAUACCAAAGGACAAAUUUAAAAAUAAGUUUUUUGUGUCAAAAUUAUAGCUUUCAGUCAAAUAAUCAAGUAUGGAUAUUGGGCUUGUUUCGAAACUCAUAUUAAAUGACGAAUUUUGUACUCGAGAAAAAGUUAUUUUGGAUAAGUUAGGCCUAAGUUAUGGUAGUUCAAAGGGAGUCCUAUUUUAAUUAAAGUUACUAAAUCAAUUAAAUCAUUUUGGCAAUCACUAGAUAAGUUGAAUUUGAUAAUUUUCAGCCAAUUUACCCUUUUUUUUCACGUUUGACUAGGGAACCAGUAUUAAUAUAUUCAAAUGAAAAGUAAAAUUUUGUUAUUGGAAUUCAAUCUUUAUACAAUUGCAGCCAAUUAGUUUCUUAUGAUAAAUAUCAGUUUUUUCCCGGGAACCAUUUGACUUAAUCCCAAAUUCUAGUUCACGUGUAGAUUUCAACAAAAUUAAGAUGCUAUUUUAUAGUAAUUAAAGCUAAUUUAUGUUGAUUGGGUUGUUAGGGAAUAAUAAGAGUCCUAAUCCAAUUGGAUAUCAAAUUCAAAUUAAUGGGACUUUAGUCCCCAUUUGUAAUAGAAGACUGAGCAUACUACAGCUUCUUGUUCAUGCCAUUUUAACAAGAACUCAUCAACAAUUAUGUUCUACCACGUUCUUCCCUUUGAAACACCACAACCAUAUCAUCAACCUGAAACGUUUGCCUACCCAUAUCAGCAGCAACCUUAUACUUUGCAUUGGAGCUUUCAACUUUUUCUUCUCCCAUUGAAUCACCUCCAUAUGUUGUUCAGCUUGUUGUUUAGUUGUUGCACUUUUUGUCAUAGUUGUUUCACCAAACUUCUUUACAUUCAAGGAAAACUUAUUGACUAAUUUGUAGUAGUCAUAAAAGUUUUCCCUUCCACUUUAAAGGUUUUCUAGCACGUCCCGUCUUUUUAUCCUUCCAUUUUAACAUGUAGGUGUUCUCUAUAUCCCGCUAUGUACGGCAUCCAAAUAAAACUGUCACAAUUCGCCCAAUAGAACAUAACACGCUUCAAUCUCAACAAUGACGCAAAUAAUUUUCGAUUUGUAAAAGUCCUCUUGAACAAAGGUAACCCAGAAAUUCGAUUUUACUUGAAUAGACAUACCCUUCUUAAUCCAACCAAUGUGAUAAGAAGUUUGACGUUGUUUAGAUGCCACCUUUAGAUGAUGAUCUACUAGCUUCUUUAGGAUCACAUUAUCACAACUAAACUAUUUAUGAUCAGACUACAAAAAAAUCAUUGACUCGACACUUGGCUUGAAAGAUCUUCCUACAGUGAGUCAACUAUUCCUGCUUUGGCGAGCAUAAGAUUUUUUGCACUAAAUACAUAAAAUCUCCUUGUUCUUUCUCACACAACUCAUCGAAUUAUUCUUCCUUUGGUGUAGGAUGAUGAAUAAUAAUAACAAUUAAUCUUAUUCAUAAUACACAAAGAAGUGUUGCUCAAAUUUUGUUCGAACGGACGUAGAAAUAUUGGAAUCUACCAAUUAACGAAAUAAAUUAUGAUAUUAUUAAUCAAAACAUUUGUAGGUUAUUCAAUCCCUUUAACACAAAUUUAAAGAAUUAAAACGAACUCCAAUCAAUGCAAAACUCUAAUUCUGUAGAUAAAUCUAAAUAAAAUUAAAAAACUAUUAAAAUGACAAAAAUAUUCUUAAAUUCAGUCCAAACAGAAAACUGCUAAAAUGGAGUCCUAAAUAUUGCAUACCAUCCACGUGUAUGCUCUUUGUAGUGUAUGCUAUCCACGUAUAUGCUUUUUGUUUGAUGCCAUCCACAAUUGCUAAAAUGAUUCACCAUUUGACUCGUUCAAAUUUUGCAUGCCAUCUACGUGUAUGCUCUUCGUAGUGUCCACUGCCACGCGUAAAAUCCAUAUAUCUCCAAUCCAAUGUAUAAGGAUACGACCAUUGCAAUUGAAAGUUAACCGAGAAAAGCAGAAGAAAAAUGGCGUCAAAUCUGAAUCCAAGGUAUGCAUACACAGUGGUUUAUGUUAGAGAUGUAGCCAAAUCUGUUGCAUUUUACACCAAGGCAUUUGGUUAUCAAGUGCGCCGCUUAGAUCACUCUAACAGGUAAAUGACAUUGAAAUAUUAUUGCAAUCAAUGACACUGAAAUCACGUGAUUAUUGUUAUGUUAGAAUCUCGAAAUCUUAGUACAUGUUUAGGAACGCUUGUCAAGUUUUAUGAACUGUCAGAUGUCAUUUUCAUCUACACAUUUUCUAUGAUUCACGAUUUAUAAUCUAGUACUAUCCUUUUAUCAUAAUUACAUGCAAAUGAGUCCAGCAUCGUAGAAGUAGAUUGGUGUCAAAUAGACACGGCCACGAGGAUGAUCGUGGGGGGUUCCGUGUGAUUUGAGCAAAUUUUACCCAUCUUUUGUCUAAUUGAAAUUAGAUUUUGUAAAUUUUCAUAAAAAUUGAUGAAAUGAAUGGUUGAGAAGUUAUACAUCUAAUGAAAUGGGUUAUUUAUUGAUUUUAACUUAAAAUUCAUAUCAAAUUAAUAUUUUUAUCAACCUUUUAAUCUAAAUCAAGCAGGGUAUUAAAUUCUUUGACAAACAAUAAAAAAGAAUACUGAGGACCGAUCAAAAAAAAAAAAAAAAAAAAAAAAACUGGGGAAAAAAAGGUAAAAAAAAAAAAAAAGAAUACUGAGGAUAUCAAUGGCCAUGAUUGAAUUGGAAGGUGUUUUCUUCUCUUUUUCUAAUUUCAUGUGGAAUAAUGCUACUUGGCCUCACUGAGGUUAUAUAACACUAAUACAGUUGUUAAAUGAUAUCUCAAAUGAAAGGUGGAAUUAUCAUUCAACUAUUAUUUAAUCCACAUAGAUUGGGGUUAUGGCUAAAUAGCAUUACUCUUUCGUGGAUCUCUCUCGAUAUCACUAUCGAUCUCAAUUGGUCUUUUGAUGGCAUGGAACUUUUACUUAAAAUUUACCUCUUAACAACAUCAUGAAAAAAGUCAACUAUGAUCAGGUUGAAUGAAGACUUGCAUCCUACAUCUCUACCUUGAUUUUGCGGAUUGGGUCCAUUAAAAAAGAAAAAUAUAACCAUAUGAUCUAAUGUUUUGUAUGUGAAAAUAUUUGAAUCUUGUUCUAAUUUCUUAGGAUUUAUAUAUGUUGAAAGAAAUAUGUUUAUUAAUUUUGUUGAUUGGAUUGGAGUAGAUGAGAUGAGCUUGAGAGUGGAGAGACUACAAUAGCAUUAACACCUGCUCACCAACACGAGACGGGUGAUUUGAGUGGUGAGGUGCGUAUGCCACAAUCCAGCCAUGAGAGGAACCCGAUCGAGGUCUGUUUUGACUAUUCAGAUGUGGAUUCUGCCUACAAGGUAUGGACUAAUUAUUUCUCCCUUGUUCAGAAAUAAACAUAACUUCCUUGUGAAGCUAUUUGUGAAGCUAUUUUUUGGUAGUUUGGUACAUUGUGAUGUUUUGAGAUUGUUAUUUGUGGUGGAUCAGAAUGCUGUAGAGAACGGUGUCGUACCAGUUAGUGAGCCAGAGGAGAAGGAACGGGCACAAAAAGUAGGGUAUGUUCGAGAUAUUGACGGGAUUGUCAUGAGGAUGGGGAGCUACGUGAAUUCGUCCAUAGCCCAUCAAUGAACAUCAGCCUGUAUUCUGGAUUUAUCUCAUCUGAUGGCUUCAUUCCCUUCCUUAAUGUUUGUACCAAUUAAAGAUCAUUUACUUUUGGAAGUUGCGGCUCAUCAUUUGAAUUAAUCUGUGUAGAUUGAGAUUAUGAUCCUCUAUAUACAUAGUUGGGUCGAUUUUCAGCACCAGUCUAUCUGUGACAGAGUCAUUUAUAUUGUGGUUCUCCUAGACCUAGUUCAUGAUUUGGACCUAGGGUCUUUAUAUAAUUCUUGUAGCUUGGGAUAAUUUUCUUAUAUUUAUGUUGGAAUGUAUGUACGAAAACAUUUAACAUCUGUUUAUUUAAGUUUUCAUAGUCAAGGGCGUUCAAUAUAUAUUCAUUAUUCACUGGGAUAGUCUAUUAGUUAUUUGAAGGCACAUGAACAAUAUGUCAUGCCCAAUGGAAGUCUCAAUGUAUGCAUUGUAGAUUUAUUAUAGCUAGAGAAUCUCGUAUAUAUGGAGUUGACUCAAUUGAUUAUCUAAAAGUUAAGAUAAUUUUGCAAUUUCACUUAUACAACAUGAGCAUUACUUAAUGAACGCAUUGAUCGAUCAAUUAUAAUUUAUAUUAAUGACAUUUCGGUAUCCUCAAAGGAUAAGGAACAACAUUAAAUGCAAUUGAAGAUUGUAUUAGAGAUGCUCAAAAGAGAUGAAUUAUAUUUAAAUUUAAGAAAUAUGAAUUUUACUUCGACCUAUAAAUUUUUUCGACAAGUACAUCAUUGCACAAGGAAUUGAAGUGUAUGUGACUGUGGUUAAAGCCAUGGCUAAUUGGUUUAGACCAUUUAUUGUCGAUGAGGUCUGUAAUUUCUUGUGAUUGAUCAGUUAAAUGAGAGAUUACUAAUGGAUUUUUUAAAAUAAGGGACAAAAUAACUCUACUAUCUAGAAAUGUGUAUUGCAAUUUCUGGAUUAUUAUAUGGUGAUUUUUGAUCUUUUCAAAUAGAAACGAAUUAAAUAGAAAGAGAUAGAUUAGAAACAACAUAUAUUAUAACUGGUCUCUCCAAACUUUUCAUUUACAAUUAAGCUGGUUGUACAGGGUGACAUGGGUACAACUAGCAUAACCAUUACAUUUAAGUCCCAUUAUGAGAUUCAAGCUAUCAUACACGUUAUUAUUUUUGGUAGUUUGACAUUUUUCACGGAUUCAGGGUAUAAAGUAACACCAGUGUGCAAAAAUAGGUUUAAAUUAAUAAGCUUUUUGUACAAUGCAAUCACUUUAAAAUGGGGCAAAUUGCAUAAAAUUAAAUAAAAAUCAGUUGCUUUAUAUGAGAUUUAUGAUGAGGUUGGUUUUUUUGUCACAAUUAUAUCUCUUUUACUAUACAAAUUUUUAAUUGUAUUACAAGAGUCUAAUUUUUUCUUUUGUCGCAUUUAUGUUCCUAUCAUUUUUUAUCACUCAUCUUCAAUUUUUUAUUAAUUAGCAUAUUUUGUCCCUUUGUUACGUUCAAAUAUUCUAUUAGCUUGGUUUGAAAUGGGAGACAAAUGUUAUGUUGUACUUUUAUAUUGGUUGUUUUACAAUUAAAUAUAAAAAUUAAAUAAGAAGGGCUAACUUGAAGGAUUGACCCAUGCUUGACGAUUAACAAGGUUGGCACUUCGUUUCAGUGUUGUGCAAAGAAAAUAUGGGUUGAGUCAUAAAAGGAUGGCAACUCUGUCGCGUUUUUCGGUUCCGAAUGAUGAAUUGGACAAGGAUGAGUAACAUGGUCGCAUCCCCAAUUCCUUGAACAUGCCCCGAGUCAUUUUAGCCAAUAAUAGUGUUAUGCAUCACUCAUACCUUUAAAUUAGAAGUUGAAAAAAUGGGGAAAAAAGUUUAUUUAACUUUUUGUUUUAGUGUUAUAAUUGAUUAAUAAUAUUUAUUUAAUAUAUUUAUUGUGUAAUAAUAAUGUUUUGAAAAUCAGAUCCGAUUUAUUUGUUUAAUUUAAAAAUUUUGAACUGGUUCCAAAAUCGAUUGGGCGCAAGUCAAAAACUGUCUAAGAAAAGGUCGGAAAAGUGGUCAACAAUAAAUCGAUUGACAGCGGACAUGGGUUUACUAGUUGGAUUCCGUAAAAAAGUGAAAUUUCUUUUUUGGUAAAUGAUUCUAUUUUUGCAUUUAAGAGAUGAUAAAUGAAGAUUAGGCUUGAAGAUGAUAAAAUAAUAAAAGAAAAGUGGCUCGGCCGAAAGCUUUAAGUCCGUGUUUCAUGAAUGGGGACUCACAAAAGUAUGGCUGGAUUCACGACACUUGCAAUAGAGUAACGUGGAUUAAAAAUGCACAUUUUGAAUUAAAUAAUUAGCAUGUUUGACUCAGCUAAAAUUGUUCCAUUAAUGAAUUUUGGGGGGAAAAAUUACUUCAAUGUUUACUACUGUGGUCAUCCUAAUAUGGUCGUCAAUGUUUACCCGACUUAAAUUGUUUGGUCGGCAAAGGUAUAGUUUUUCCGACUUCAAUUCUUUGGGUUGGCAAAGGUAUAUUUUUCCCGACCAAAAAAAGUAGUCAACCUAUGUUUUACCGACUUUGUGUUUAAACCUUCACCGACCCAAAUUAUGGUCAAAAAAAUCUUUAUUAUUCCCAGCCAAAUUCUUGUUGGCAAGUAAAACCCUAAAAAUUUCCCGACUAAUUUGCAUUGCGUAAAAACCUAUAUAUUUCCUAACUAAAAUGUAUUAUGGUCGGUAAAAACUUUUGUUGGCUGGCUUUUGGCGAUCAACUCCCGACCAAGAUUUUGUAGUCGGGAAUUGAAAAUACCGACUAAUAUUUGACAGUUAGCGAUCAGUCUUUGGGUCGGCAAAAAUCAUAUUUCUUGCACUGUGAGUUGCUCAUUAUAUCUUUAGAGAUAAAAAAGUAGUUGAUAUUAUUUAAAUUUUCAAAUUAUAUUAGAAAAUUUAUUCCUUUAAAUUUUUUGUUGAUGUCAAAAAAUGACUAGCUUAAUUUUAUCAACUUUAUUGAUGAUUCGUGAGAGGUAAUUUGAGCCGAAAUAGUAAAAUUAUGCUGAACCAAUGGAAUUGAGCUGAAAUUGUAAUAAAAAUAAAGUGUUUGUAUUAAGUAGAGAAAUUUGGGAGUAUAUACGAUAUGCGUUUAGCUUGUUUUCUUGGGGGACCAUUACAAUCCUUUUUAUCGACAAAGAUGGGCAAAUUGCAUGACUUUACAUCAAAUCAGCUACAAUAUUGACCUUAAUGUGUGUAACUAACCCAGUUUUGAUUAUCUAUUGAGGUCAAUCUCCAUAUGUCAUGAUGAAUUUGAGGCGGAAAGUAAUCAUUGCGAUGGUAGGUCACAAUUUGGCUGCCUCUUUGAUGAAAAUCGAGGCUUUGAUUAUUCAUUCUGAUUAUUUGUGAAGAAAAAUCAUGUUAAGAAUGCGACAAAAUUCACUAUCAAUCCUUAAUUAGAAAUUGCUUGCAUAAAUUUUUCAUGACCAUUAGUUUGCACCUAUACAUUUACUAACUGUUGUUUGUAUUUAUGAUCCAUUACAUAAUAUCAAAAUAAAUUAGUUUAUUUGGUGUCUAUUCAAUUAAAAAUGCAUUUAACUUACCCUUCUAUUAUUUCAUGAAUUCUGUGAAUUAAAUAUGGAUUACAUAUUUGAUUUAAUUUCUGUAAAUAAUAUUCACAUUUGUAGGAUUCUGUUUUAUUUUUCGGUUAAUUUACAAUGGUACAUAUUAAUUCUUUCAUUUUAAAUUCCUUACGUGUUGGAUUUAAUUUACUUAAAUGGCAUUUUUUUCACUUUUAUCCACUAACAAGUGCAUGUGGUUGGUGUUUGAUCAAUUCGUUUCUGAUUCGGCAUCCCCGCAAUUGUUUUUUUAUUUUUUAUUUUAAAAUGUCUCGGCCAUAACUGAGUCAUAAGGAAAAAAUUUUGAUAUUGCAAUAUUAUUAAAUGCAUGCCAGCAAUUUCCAUGAAAGAAUGUGAACUUUCUUGCGAAGCAGUGUUUAAGGACUUUUCUGUCAUUAAUUACCUAUUCUUUGACUCGGAUACUGAUUAUAGUAGGUGGAGGCAAAUCAGCCACCGAAUUGGAAUGGAACCAAAACUUCCCAUUAGAGCAUAGUCUCUAUAUGGUAAUUCAAUCUUUGCUACAAUUGGUAUAAAAUACGUUAGAUUAUUUAAAUGCCAGUCAUGAAUUUAUUUGAUAUUUACUAAUCGGUGCAUGCAAGUCUCUAUUCUAUGAAAGUGCAUGUGUUUUCUUAAGGCAGUUUAUAUGACGGCGACUCUUAAUUUUCAAAAUAUUAUCAAAAUCAAUUGUGGUACGAGAGUCGGGAGUUUUUUUUAAUGAUAUUUUACCACAUCAUGUAUAUAUAAACAAUUAUGUACAUGUAACACAAUCAUUGGUGUAGAGGGAUUUAUUUGACCCAGGCAGCAUUACCGAAUGGGACAACGUUCACUCUUGAUGCUAUGACUGUCCUUUCAUUAUCAUGUGUUAUAUAUUUAUAUGACUUUGAGGCUAAUGUGCCAAAACCUAAAGUUGACAUGCUAAAGUUGGUUAGAUUGCAACACACAAUGUUAAACUCGUACUAAGUAGUUUUCAUUCAAAGAGGGGCAAUUUUUCUGUAAUCAACUAACUUAUGAUUUUAUUUCAUUUUAAUUAUCCAACUUUGAUUUGUUACAAUUUAAUCAUCCUACUUACUUUCAUGGUUCAUACGAUAAUUUUGUCCGUAAUUAUGACCAAAACCAUCCUUUCCCACAAUAACCAACAAAAUGCACAACUCUGCACCUUCUCAAUUCUUAAUGAGCCGUUAGUCGAGAUUGCAUAAAGUGAAAUUUAAGUUCUUAAAUUCACUCAUUUGAACUUUUUUUAUGACCAAAAAGUUUCGAUUUCCAUAUUCAAGUAGGAUUAAUCAUUAUCUUUGAGCACGAUUACAAAAAAUGUGAAGUUGAAUUACACGAUGAAAAUUGAAGUGACGGACCAAGAUGAACUUCCUCUUAAUAAAUCAAGGACUAAUUCCAUUAUAUAAUAUAAAUGUCCACUGGUUUAUAAAUUUUCAUCAUCCUUCUAAAAUAACCAUACAUCCCUCGCGUUCAUCUCAGGAGCUCUAUAUUUCUCUCUCGAACUUCGCGUCCGAACUAAUUUUUAGAUAUGCUUUACCUAGAGGUAAUUUUUUAGUUAAUAUUUCUGUUCAUAUAUUUUGAAUUUUGUUUGCUGGUUAUUGAUGUAUAUAUUAUUAUUAUUAUUAUUAUUAUUAUUAUUAUUAUUAUUAUUAUUAUUAUUAUUAUUAUUAUUUUGAGUUGGAAAUGUUUGUAUAGUGAAAGCAGCUUUUGAUAAUAUGAUUUAAAUUUGUGGAAUCAGGAUACGAGUAAUUGAGUAUUGCUACAUUUUUUAUUUUAUUUUAUUUUUUUAUCUUAUGAUCUAAUCUCAAGAUUUACCAUUCAAACCUUUUCGAUCUAGUGGAAAAUUUCGAUUAUUUAAUAUAAUUGUCUACCUACUUGAUUAAAAACAGUAUUUUUGAGAAUGGAGAAUUCGAUUAUUAUUAUUAUUAUUUAUGAAUUAAAGUACUACAUUGAAAUAUGUUUUUAAGAUAAUGUAAAUUAGGGAGUGGGAAAUAACGUGACCGGAUAAUACUUGAAAAAAAGGAUAUUGGGGUCCUGGUGAUAAGGAAAAAGCAAUUUAGACAAGGAAGAUUGGACAUUUAGGGCCUAUUUAGGAGCGAUUUUUUCUUCCAAAAAAUUGAUUUUUUGAGCGUUAUUUCACUAUUCUAGCCGUCAUAUUUGACUUCUUCUCUCACAAGUGGGCCCCACUUUUCUCCUAACGAUCAAAAAAUAAUUCUUAAAAUCACUCCCAAACAGGCUCUUAAAGCACUAAAUUUUUAAUGACAAAACAAAGCUCAUAAUAACUUUAUCGAGAGAAAGAUGAAAUAAUUUGGCAAGCAUUGAUUGGAGGAAAAAGAAAAGUAAGAACUCAAUAAUAUUACAAUCUAUCCAUCUCUCAUAAAGUAACCCACCUAAUGAUUGUAUAAAAGAGGAAAAAGAAAAAGGGCACAAAAAAAAAAGGUAAUAUUUAUAUAUAUAUAUGUAUGUGUGUGUAUAUAUAUAUAUAUAUAUAUAUAUAUAUAUAUAUAUAUAUAUAGUAUGUAUGUAUGUAUGUAUGUAAAGGUGGAGGGGUGCAUGUAGUCUAUACCAAGGUAAUUGGUGAGAAAUCAGCCAUCGUUCCACAGGUUUUCCGGGAAAGGUGGUGCGAUUUGGUUCCUUCCAAGAGUUUGCUAAAGACUUCCUAGCAUUCCCUGUAUCACAAUUGAUUUAAACAGUAUAAAAACCAAAGAAGAUGGAAAUAUGCCCGAAUCAAUUGAUUAAAUACUUGUUGAUUCCAUCGUAUUUUCAAAACUGAUUUAAAAUUGCAAUGUAGUUGAUUCUAUACAAAUACUGGGUUUGGUUGAUUCCCCAAAAAAAAAAAAAAAAAGAAAGAGGAGGAGGAUAUCGGAUCCAAAAGAACUGAAGAAAUCCAAACUCUUUACAAUGACUCACAGUUUCUUCAUUUAGACACAGUUUUCAGGAAGUUCAAAGGGAAAUGUCAACAAAAUGAAGGAUAUUACAAUUCUCAAACUAAAUUAACAGACAUAAUUCAUAAAUAAACUAAAAGAUAACGUUUGAACCUGUGAACAAUUGAAUGUUGUACCAAGUUCUCAUAACUCAUGGCUGCAUCACAAGUUCAUAAAUAUAGUUGAUAUCUUAAAUCAAAAAAAAUAUGAAAUAGUCUUUCGACAUUUCUUUUUAUUCCAUGCACAAUAAAGGAGUCACAAAGCCAUAGCAGAUCAAAGGAAAGAGACAAAGAGUCGUAGUAUACCAGCAAAACUCAUGCUCUGUUUACUCUUUGAAUCUCGAGUAAUGACUUUCUUCUUGAAUCUCGAUUGAUGACUACUUUAAGCUCUUCAUUUCCCAUUUCUUGUUGUUCUUCCUGAAUUUCCACAGCAGAUUUUGCGAUAGAUUCUGUGCAUCCAUAUACCUCAAUUUUCUGUAAGGUUAAAAUAUAACCUAAACUGGACGGGAUCUUAUUCAAACAGUAGCACUUUCGCAACACUAAUCGUUCUAGUUUGGGGUAAUCAUCACUUGUGGGAUUCCAUUCUGCAUAUUUAUACUGGCUUGCAAUUUUCACAUCAUUUAGCUCGAAGAAUUUGAGUUUUUGGAAUUCACCUUCUUCUGUGUCCCAUUGGUUUUCCUUGAAGGAACCAACACGUAAUUUGAGAACCUCUAAUUUCGGCAAUCUCCCAAUCAUCCGAAUUUUUUCCCACGACAAAUGAAAUUUCAAUAGGGUCAAUUUUUUGAGAUUCAAGGGAAAAUUGGGAUCUGAAUCUCUCAUGAAACUGAUGUUGAGCGAUUCAAGUUGAUUGGGGAAUUGGAAAGGACAUUGAGUCCUGAAUUUGCAUCCCAAUUUGAGGAGAUUGGGAGCACAUCCCAAAACUUUUGCAUCCAUUUCAUUAUAAAUAAAAAGUAAUGAAAUAGAUUGUAGGUUAUUUAUUUGGAAGCUCCCAUCCGUAGUUGCUCUUAAAUGAGAAGAUCCACUGAAG